GUGAAUCAUCGAAUUUUUGAACGCAAAUUGCGCUUCCUGGCAUCCCGGGAAGUAUGCCUGUUUGAGAGUCAGUAUUAACAAAAAAUCGGUUUGGUUGCAGAUUGUGACGUUUCCGGAGUUUGGGCUAUCUUAACUUUUUUGGUUAAGGGGCUUAAAAUUGACCUUUUUUGCGCAUUUUUAGACGUACAUAAAUUUUUUUUUUUUUUGAUUUGUGUUAUUGCUCAAAGUCUGUGUCAUUUGUACC
rnacentral:misc_RNA from 1 species